GUAGUUGACUCCGUCGGCUACGAAGAACGACGCUGGCGGCAGGCCUAACACAUGCAAGUCGAGCGAAGUCUUCGGACUUAGCGGCGGACGGGUGAGUAACGCGUGGGAACAUACCCUCUUCUACGGAAUAGCCUCGGGAAACUGGGAGUAAUACCGUAUACGCCCUUCGGGGGAAAGAGUUUAUCGGAGGAGGAUUGGCCCGCGUUGGAUUAGGUAGUUGGUGGGGUAAUGGCCUACCAAGCCGACGAUCCAUAGCUGGUUUGAGAGGAUGAUCAGCCACACUGGGACUGAGACACGGCCCAGACUCCUACGGGAGGCAGCAGUGGGGAAUCUUAGACAAUGGGCGCAAGCCUGAUCUAGCCGUGCCGCGUGAUUGAUGAAGGCCUUAGGGUUGUAAAGAUCUUUCAGCUGGGAAGAUAAUGACGGUACCAGCAGAAGAAGCCCCGGCUAACUCCGUG
rnacentral:rRNA from 1 species